AACAACGAGCCCCAGCUUAAAACCCAAAGGACUUGGCGGUGCUUUAGACCCCCCUAGAGGAGCCUGUUCUAGAACCGAUACUCCCCGUUCAACCUCACCCCCUCUUGUCAACCCCGCCUAUAUACCGCCGUCGUCAGCUUACCCUAUGAAGGACUAAUAGUAAGCAAAAUUGGCAAAGCCCAAAACGUCAGGUCGAGGUGUAGCGUACGAGGGGGGAAGAAAUGGGCUACAUUUACUGCCUCAGUAAACACGAAUAUUGCAAUGAAAUAAGCAUUUGAAGGAGGAUUUAGCAGUAAGGGGCGAAUAGAGAGCCCCCCUGAAAAUGGCCCUUAAGCGCGCACACACCGCCCGUCACUCUCCCCAACACAACGAGAUAAAUAAAUAAUACAAACUAUGAACCCAAGGGGAGGCAAGUCGUAACAUGGUAAGUGUACCGGAAGGUGCACUUGGAAAACAC
rnacentral:rRNA from 1 species